UACGUAGGGGGCAAGCGUUGUCCGGAAUUAUUGGGCGUAAAGAGCGUGUAGGCGGUCCGGUAAGUCGGGCUGUGAAAGUCCAGGGCUCAACCCUGGGAUGCCGGUCGAUACUGCCGGACUAGAGUUCGGAAGAGGCGAGUGGAAUUCCCGGUGUAGCGGGUGAAAAUGCGCAGAUAUCGGGAGGAACACCUAUGGCGAAGGCAGCUCGCUGGGACGUUACUGACGCUGAGACGCGAAAGCGUGGGGAGCAAACAGG
rnacentral:rRNA from 1 species